rnacentral:pre_miRNA from 1 species
GGAUAUAAAUAAAGAUGAUGAUGAUGAUGAUGAUGAUGAUGAUCAUCAUCAUCAUCAUCAUCAUCAUCAUCAUCAUCAUCAUCAUCAUCAUCUGCA